rnacentral:rRNA from 1 species
UCCUGGUGCAGCAGCUGGGAAGGGUGGGGUUGUUCGCCCAUUAAAGGGGAUCGUGAGAUGGGUUUAGACCGUCGUGAGACAGGUUUGUUGCUUUGCGGUUGAGGCGUGUAAGAUGCCUGAUCGGAAGGGUCCUUUAGUACGAGAGGAACGAGGACUCGGAGCCACUAGUUUACCAGUUGUCCGGCAGGGCAAUGCUGGGUAGCCACGCUCCAUGUGGAUAAGAGCUGAAAGCAUCUAAGCUCGAAGUCACCCGAAAGACGAGGCAUCUCAGGGGACUCGUAGAAGACGAGUUUGAUAGACAGCGGGUGUAAGCACCGAGGUUCGCCGAGGUGUUCAGCCCAGCUGCACUAACCCCCCGAG